rnacentral:snRNA from 1 species
UGGUUUAGUGGUGUGUCCUCCUU